rnacentral:rRNA from 1 species
GACGAACGCUGGCGGCGUGCCUAAUACAUGCAAGUAGGACGCAGUUGCGAACGGGUGAGUAACGCGUAGGUAAAUGCCUAUUAGAGGGGGAUAACUAUUGGAAACGCUAGCUAAUACCGCAUACUAGUAGCUGGACCUGCGUUGUCUUAGAUAGUAGGUAGGGUAAUGGCCUACCUAGGCGACGAUACAUAGCCGACCUGCUAUGGGGAACGGCCACAAUGGGACUGAGACACGGCCCAUACUGCUACGGGAGGCAGCAGGAGCGAAGCUUCGGCAAUGGGGGGAAACCUGACCGAGCAACGCCGCGUGAGAGAAGAAGGUUUUCGGAUCGUAAAGCUCUGUUGUUAAGGAUGCGUUACUUAGCCAGAAGGGGAGGGCUAACUACGUGCCAGCAGCCGCGGUAAUAC